rnacentral:misc_RNA from 1 species
GACGAAGAACGCAGCGAAAUGCGAUAAGUAAUGUGAAUUGCAGAAUUCAGUGAAUCAUCGAAUCUUUGAACGCACAUUGCGCCCCCUGGUAUUCCGGGGGGCAUGCCUGUUCGAGCGUCAUUUCACCACUCAAGCCUCGCUUGGUAUUGGGCAACGCGGUCCGCCGCGUGCCUCAAAUCGACCGGCUGGGUCUUCUGUCCCCUAAGCGUUGUGGAAACUAUUCGCUAAAGGGUGUUCGGGAGGCUACGCCGUAAAACAACCCCAUUUCUAAGGUUGACCUCGGAUCAGGUAGGGAUACCCGCUGAACUUAAGCAUAUCAAUAAGCGGAGGA